rnacentral:rRNA from 1 species
UACGUAGGGUGCGAGCGUUGUCCGGAAUUAUUGGGCGUAAAGGGCUCGUAGGCGGUUUGUCGCGUCGGGAGUGAAAACGCCGUGCUUAACACGGCGCUUGCUUUCGAUACGGGCAGACUAGAGGCAUGCAGGGGAGAACGGAAUUCCUGGUGUAGCGGUGAAAUGCGCAGAUAUCAGGAGGAACACCGGUGGCGAAGGCGGUUCUCUGGGCAUGUCCUGACGCUGAGGAGCGAAAGUGUGGGGAGCGAACAGG